rnacentral:rRNA from 1 species
CCCUUAGACGUUCUGGGCCGCACGCGCGCUACACUGACGAAUGCAACGAGCUUAUAACCUUGGCCGAAAGGUCUGGGUAAUCUCCAAAUUUCGUCGUGAUGGGGAUAGAUUAUUGCAAUUAUUAAUCUUCAACGAGGAAUGCCUAGUAAGCGCGAGUCAUCAGCUUGCGUUGAUUACGUCCCUGCCCUUUGUACACACCGCCCGUCGCUCCUACCGAUUGAAUGGUCCGGUGAAGCGUUCGGACCGUGGCCUUUGGACGGUUCGCCGUCUGUUGGCUGCGGGAAGUUCGUUAAACCUUAUCAUUUAGAGGAAGGAGAAGUCGUAACA